CGACCUCGGAUCAGACGUGAUUACCCCCUGAACUUAAGCAUAUCAUUAAGGGGAGGAAAAGAAAUUAACUAAGAUUCCCUUAGUAACGGCGAGCGAACAGGGAAGAGCCCAGCACUGAAUCCCUCGGGUUUAUCCUGUUGGGAAUUGUGGUGUUUAGGACGGACUUUGGUUUGUAGGUCUCGUCUGAAGUUCACUUGAAUGUGACUUCAGGUCCAAAGAGGGUGUAAGACCCGUACGGAUGAGACUUGCUUUCCCCGGUCUGUUCUUGGAGUCGGGUUGUUUGAGAUUGCAGCCCAAAGCAGGUGGUAAACUCCAUCUAAGGCUAAAUACUGAACGCUAGUCCGAUAGUCGACAAGUACCGUGAGGGAAAGUUGAAAAGAACUUUGAAGAGAGAGUUCAAUAGUGCGUGAAACCGUCCAGAGGUAAACGGAUGGAGCCGAAAAAGAUUGCGGGGAUUCAGCCGGUUUGUUCCGCAGUGCUGUGCGUUCUACAUGCUGUAAUGGCAGUAGGCGUGUGGUGUCUGUGGUUUAGACCGGUGCACUUUCCCGUAGUCUGCACUAGGACCGCUGAGUCGGCAGCCUGUCGUAGAGUGGUGGUAACGAUUACUGCGGUGGUCGUGAAAUACUCUCUGCACGGGACUGCUGGAGCAGUGUAAAAAGCGACGCGCGUACUUUGAUACUAGGUAAGCUGCGCCGGGUUGGUGGUGUACUGGGUCAAAUGGUGAAUUCCAGAUGGCUCGGUGUCCCGUCAGUUUCGGUGUGGCUAAGCCUUACGCGUCGAUAGUCCCUGGUGUUAAAGUAGGUAGUCCAUCUGACCCGUCUUGAAACACGGACCAAGGAGUCUAGCAUAUGCGCGAGUCAUUGGGCGUUACGAAACCCAAAGGCGUAGUGAAAGCAAAGGUGUACCUUUGUGCACUGAGGUAUGAUCCUGGUUCCUUAAUUGGGCUGGGCGCAAUACCGACCCGUCCUAAACAGUCUUACUGUGGGGCGGCGUAAGAGCGCAUAUGCUGAAACCCGAAAGAUGGUGAACUAUGCUUGGGCAGGUUGAAGCCAGAGGAAACUCUGGUGGAGGACCGUAGCGAUUCUGACGUGCAAAUCGAUCGUCAGACCUGAGUAUAGGGGCGAAAGACUAAUCGAACCAUCUAGUAGCUGGUUCCCUCCGAAGUUUCCCUCAGGAUAGCUGGUGCACAUGAACUAAACAGUCUCAUCCGGUAAAGCGAAUGAUUGGAGGUAUUGGGGACGAAAUGUCCUCAACCUACUCUCAAACUUUAAAUGGGUGAGAUCUCUAAGCCGCUUAAUUGGGCUUGGGGGGUUUUGGAUGUGUGUACCUAGUGGGCCAUUUUUGGUAAGCAGAACUGGCGCUGUGGGAUGAACCAAACUAUCAGCUAAGGUGCCAAACAGGACGUUCAUGAGACACCACAAAAGGUGUUGGUUGAUAUAGACAGCAGGACGGUGGCCAUGGAAGUUGGAAUCCGCUAAGGAGUGUGUAACAACUCACCUGCCGAAUCAACCAGCCCUGAAAAUGGAUGGCGCUUGAGCGUUCGACCUAUGCUGGUACCUGAUAGCAUGCCUUGAUCAGCCUAGCUGAAGUUAUCAGGAGUAGGAGGGUCGCCGUGGUGAGCGUUGAAGCUUCCGCCGUGAGGUGGGGUGGAGCCGCCACGGGUGCAGAUCUUGGUGGUAGUAGCAAAUAAACAAGUGAGAACCUUGUUGACUGAAGUGGAGAAGGGUUCCAUGUGAACAGCAGUUGAACAUGGGUCAGCCGGUCCUAAGCUAUCUGGUAAAUCAGUACCAUAUGCGGGUGAUUCUUUUGCUUUGUAAGCCCGCGAUAGCGAAAGGGAAUCAGGUUAAUAUUCCUGAGCUUGCUAUGGAGAUAGGGGCUUCGGCCUCCAGUGCGGUAACGCAAUCCAGCACAGAGACGUCGGCGGAGGUUCUCGGAAGAGUUAUCUUUUCUUUGUAAGGUCCACCAUCCCUGGAAUCGGAUUGUCCGGAGAUAGGGAUACAGGAUCCGUAAAGCACCGCGGUUCUUGUGGUGUCGGGAACGCUUUCGUCGGCCCUUGAAAAUCUGUGUUCGGCAGUGUUAUUUUCAUAGCAAACCGUACCCAUAUCCGCAGCAGGUCUCCAAGGUGCACAGCCUCUAGUCCUAGAACAAUGUAGGUAAGGGAAGUCGGCAAAAUUGAUCCGUAACUUCGGAAUAAGGAUUGGCUCUGAGGUUAGGGUCUGACGGGCUAAAGUAAGAAGCCGGUUGUGCUCUCGCUGGAGCUGGGUUGGCCUGGGGGCGGCGCUUUCGGGUGCUGUUUCUGGGCUUUCUCGGAGCUGGUUGGAGCUGGCCGGUCGGCGACUUUUGCUAUGCUCAUUCGGGGCAACCCGGGUGGGCUUCGUCAGAUACUUGACUAACAACUCAGAACUUGCAAGGACCAGGGGAAUCCGACUGUCUAAUUAAAACAAAGCAUUGCGAUGGCCGGUAAUCGGUGUUGACGCAAUGUGAUUUCUGCCCAGUGCCA